CGGACGGGUGAGUAAUGUAUGGGGAUCUGCCUGAUGGCGGGGGAUAACUACUGGAAACGGUAGCUAAUACCGCAUAAUGUCUACGGACCAAAGCGGGGGACCUCCGGGCCUCGCGCCAUCAGAUGAACCCAUAUGGGAUUAGCUUGUAGGUAAGGUAACGGCUUACCUAGGCGACGAUCCCUAGCCGGUCUGAGAGGAUGAUCAGCCACACUGGGACUGAGACACGGCCCAG
rnacentral:rRNA from 1 species